AACGAACGCUGGCGGCAUGCCUAACACAUGCAAGUCGAACGAGAUCUUCGGGUCUAGUGGCGCACGGGUGCGUAACGCGUGGGAAUCUGCCCUUUGGUUCGGAAUAACAGUUGGAAACGACUGCUAAUACCGGAUGAUGACGAAAGUCCAAAGAUUUAUCGCUAGAGGAUGAGCCCGCGUAGGAUUAGCUAGUUGGUGUGGUAAAGGCGCACCAAGGCGACGAUCCUUAGCUGGUCCGAGAGGAUGAUCAGCCACACUGGGACUGAGACACGGCCCAGACUCCUACGGGAGGCAGCAGUGGGGAAUAUUGGACAAUGGGCGAAAGCCUGAUCCAGCAAUGCCGCGUGAGUGAUGAAGGCCUUAGGGUUGUAAAGCUCUUUUACCCGGGAUGAUAAUGACAGUACCGGGAGAAUAAGCUCCGGCUAACUCCGUGCCAGCCGCCGCAGUAA
rnacentral:rRNA from 1 species